rnacentral:rRNA from 1 species
CGCGUAGGCGGCUUUUGUCAGUCGGAUGUGAAAGCCCCGGGCUUAACCUGGGAAUUGCAUUCGAAACUGCAGAGCUAGAGUAUGGUAGAGGGAAGUGGAAUUCCGGGUGUAGCGGUGAAAUGCGUAGAUAUCCGGAGGAACACCAGUGGCGAAGGCGACUUCCUGGGCCAAUACUGACGCUGAGGUGCGAAAGCGUGGGGAGCAAACA